AGCUCGUGUCGUGAGAUGUUGGGUUAAGUCCCGCAACGAGCGCAACCCUUGAUAUUAGUUGCCAGCACUUUGGGUGGGCACUCUAGAAUGACUGCCGGUGACAAACCGGAGGAAGGCGGGGAUGACGUCAAAUCAUCAUGCCCCUUAUGACUUGGGCUACACACGUACUACAAUGGCUGGUACAACGGGAAGCGAAGCCGCGAGGUGGAGCCAAUCCUAUAAAAGCCAGUCUCAGUUCGGAUUGCAGGCUGCAACUCGCCUGCAUGAAGUCGGAAUUGCUAGUAAUCGCGGAUCAGCAUGCCGCGGUGAAUACGUUCCCGGGUCUUGUACACACCGCCCGUCACACCACGAGAGUUUACAACACCCGAAGUCGGUGGGGUAACCCGCAAGGGAGCCAGCCGCCGAAGGUGGGGUAGAUGAUUUGGGGUGAAAGUUCG
rnacentral:rRNA from 1 species